GAAAACAGUUGGAUCUCAUCAACAGCAGGGUGUGGCAGGAACAUUCGCAGCUCCCUGAAUAUUCCUGUGCUCCCCCACAUUUCCAGUCCCUUUACAGUUAAAGCCGUGUGACUUGUUUGAGCCAAUAGAGUGGAAGUGGAAGAGAAGUAUGUCACUGCGAGACUGAAGGAAUAAAGAGCUGAUGUGUCAUCCUUCAUUUCUCCCUUGCCUCUGUACGAUAACCGGGAGUUCCCAUUUUGAGAAGUACAGCCACAAAGGACACUUGUUAGAACUGAGUCAUCACCAGCAAGAUCUACAAUGAACUUUGAGCAAAAGCAAACUUAAUGUCUUAAGCCACUGAGAUGUUGGGGUUUGUAUGUUACCACCAGCCUGACUGCUACAACCAGUUUUUCAUACUUUAUGCACAAUCUAGAAAUCCUUCAUAAUUCUGAGUAAAAACAGUGAUAGGGAGCAUUAUUUUUUAUCUUGUUCUUAACUUUAAAGGGACUGCUUCAACUGCUUUGGCAUUAAGAACCAUGUUUGCUGAUGGGUUUUGUUAGAAUAGUCAUCAUUAUGUGAGGGACAUUUCCUUGUCCUCCUAGUUUUGUGUGAGCUUCUGUCAUGAAUGAGAGUUGAUUUCUUUUUUUUUUUUUUUUCUUGAGACAGGAUCUUACUCUGUCACUCAGGCUGGAGUACAGUGGCUUCAUUAUGGCUCACUGCAGCCUUGACUUCCCAGGCUUAAGUGAUCCCCCAACCUCAGCCUCCUGAAUAGCUGGAACCACAGGCGUGUGUUACCAUGCCUGGCUAAUUUUUUGUUUGUUUCUUUGUUUGUAGAGACAUGGUCUCCCUAUGUUGUUUAGGCUGGUCUUGAACUCCUGUCUCAGCCUCCCAAAGUGUUGGGAUUACAAUCAUGAGCCACUGUGCCUGGCAAGUGUUGAAUUGUACCAAAGGUUUUUCCUGAAUCUAUUGAGGUGAUGAUUUUUCUUUUUUUUCUUUUUCUUUUUUUUUUUUUUUGAGAUGGAGUCUCGCUCUGUCGCCCAGGAGAUGGAGUCUCGCUCUGUCGCCCAGGCUGGAGUGCGGUGGCGUGAUCUCUGCUCACUGCAAGCUCCGCCUCCCGGGUUCACGCCAUUCUCCUGCCUCAGCCUCCCGAGGAGCUGCAACUACAGGCGCCCACCACCAUGCCUGGCUAAUUUUUUGUAUUUUUAGUAGAGACGGGGUUUCACCGUGUUAGCCAGGAUGGUUUGAACUCCUGAUCUGAAGUGAUCCGCCCGCCUCGGCCUCCCAAAGUUCUGGGAUUACAGGAGUGAGCCACCGCGCCCGGCCCUUUUUUUUUUUUGUGACGGAGUCUCGCUCUGUCGCCCAGGCUGGAGUGCAGUGGCGCAAUCCCAGCUCACUGCAAGCUCCGCCUCCCGGGUUCACGCUGUUUUCCUGCCUCAGCCUCCAGAGUAGCUGGGACUACAGGUGCCCGCUACCAUGCCUGGCUAAUUUUUUUGCAUUUUCGUAGAGACGGGGUUUCACUGUGUUAGCCAGGAUGGUCUUGAUCUCCUGACCUCGUGAUCCGCCUGCCUUGGCCUCCCAAAGUGUUGGGAUUACAGGUGUGAGCCACCGCGCCCGGUCGAGUUUUCUUCUUUAAUCUGGUGUUGAUCCUGAGAGUGCUUUGUUAAAAAACAUUCUCCAUGCUGACCUCCGUUUUCGAGUCCGCUUCCUGGGGAAACCUGAAACAGGACUUGAUGCUAGCAGCUGCCCAGAAGAACCAGAUGGGCCACUGUCCUUGCCAGAAGAUCUGAUAUCCUGUGUAUGGCCACCACCUAACACUGCUCACUUCUACAUGUAAACCUCAGUUGUCCCUCCAGUGAGUUUGUGUCACUCUUCACAGUCUGUAUUUCUCCUGCUUACAUGUGAUUCCCACAUGUUCUACAGAGUCUAAAGGC
rnacentral:lncRNA from 1 species